ACAUGCAAGUCGAACGCUUCUUUUUCCACCGGAGCUUGCUCCACCGGAAAAAGAGGAGUGGCGAACGGGUGAGUAACACGUGGGUAACCUGCCCAUCAGAAGGGGAUAACACUUGGAAACAGGUGCUAAUACCGUAUAACAAUCGAAACCGCAUGGUUUUGAUUUGAAAGGCGCUUUCGGGUGUCGCUGAUGGAUGGACCCGCGGUGCAUUAGCUAGUUGGUGAGGUAACGGCUCACCAAGGCGACGAUGCAUAGCCGACCUGAGAGGGUGAUCGGCCACAUUGGGACUGAGACACGGCCCAAACUCCUACGGGAGGCAGCAGUAGGGAAUCUUCGGCAAUGGACGAAAGUCUGACCGAGCAACGCCGCGUGAGUGAAGAAGGUUUUCGGAUCGUAAAACUCUGUUGUUAGAGAAGAACAAGGAUGAGAGUAACUGUUCAUCCCUUGACGGUAUCUAACCAGAAAGCCACGGCUAACUACGUGCCAGCAGCCGCGGUAAUACGUAGGUGGCAAGCGUUGUCCGGAUUUAUUGGGCGUAAAGCGAGCGCAGGCGGUUUCUUAAGUCUGAUGUGAAAGCCCCCGGCUCAACCGGGGAGGGUCAUUGGAAACUGGGAGACUUGAGUGCAGAAGAGGAGAGUGGAAUUCCAUGUGUAGCGGUGAAAUGCGUAGAUAUAUGGAGGAACACCAGUGGCGAAGGCGGCUCUCUGGUCUGUAACUGACGCUGAGGCUCGAAAGCGUGGGGAGCAAACAGGAUUAGAUACCCUGGUAGUCCACGCCGUAAACGAUGAGUGCUAAGUGUUGGAGGGUUUCCGCCCUUCAGUGCUGCAGCUAACGCAUUAAGCACUCCGCCUGGGGAGUACGACCGCAAGGUUGAAACUCAAAGGAAUUGACGGGGGCCCGCACAAGCGGUGGAGCAUGUGGUUUAAUUCGAAGCAACGCGAAGAACCUUACCAGGUCUUGACAUCCUUUGACCACUCUAGAGAUAGAGCUUCCCCUUCGGGGGCAAAGUGACAGGUGGUGCAUGGUUGUCGUC
rnacentral:rRNA from 1 species